rnacentral:rRNA from 1 species
UACAGAGGUCCCGAGCGUUGUUCGGAUUCACUGGGCGUAAAGGGUGCGUAGGUGGUGAGGUAAGUCGGAUGUGAAAUCUCCAAGCUCAACUUGGAAAUGGCAUUGGAAACUACCUUGCUGGAGGUUUGGAGGGGGGACUAGAAUUCUCGGUGUAGCAGUGAAAUGCGUAGAUAUCGAGAGGAACACCAGUGGCGAAGGCGAGUCCCUGGACAAAACCUGACACUGAGGCACGAAAGCUAGGGGAGCAAACAGG